ACAUGCCUACAACAUAGCAUUAAUGCACCGGAUUUCAUUAGAACUUCGCAAUUAAGCGCACUUGGGAUAAAUUAGUACUCGGAUGGGCGACUUCCUCAUAAGUCCUAGUUUUUUACAUGCC
rfam:Picea glauca, whole genome shotgun sequence.